rnacentral:sRNA from 1 species
UCUUAGCCCCGAUGGAAGUAGCAUCCCAUGCCUUGCGAGGAACGGAGCAAUAAGGCAUGGAUACAACGGACAGCGGGACUAUUG